rnacentral:rRNA from 1 species
AACGAACGCUGGCGGCAGGCUUAACACAUGCAAGUCGAACGAAGUCUUCGGACUUAGUGGCGGACGGGUGAGUAACACGUGGGAACGUGCCCUUUGGUACGGAAUAACUCAGGGAAACUUGAGCUAAUACCGUAUGUGCCCUUCGGGGGAAAGAUUUAUCGCCAUUGGAGCGGCCCGCGUCUGAUUAGCUAGUUGGUGAGGUAAAGGCUCACCAAGGCGACGAUCAGUAGCUGGUCUGAGAGGAUGAUCAGCCACAUUGGGACUGAGACACGGCCCAAACUCCUACGGGAGGCAGCAGUGGGGAAUCUUGCGCAAUGGGCGAAAGCCUGACGCAGCCAUGCCGCGUGAAUGAUGAAGGUCUUAGGAUUGUAAAAUUCUUUCACCGGGGACGAUAAUGACGGUACCCGGACAAGAAGCCCCGGCUAACUUCGUGCCAGCAGCCGCCGCGGUAA